GUUUUUAAAAACUAUUUAUACGGGAGUCGGACCUGCCCAGUGACAUGACGUUAAACGGCCGCGGUACUCUGACCGUGCAAAGGUAGCAUAAUCAUUUGCCUUUUAAUUGGAGGCUUGUAUGAAUGGUUUGACGAGAGCUAAGCUGUCUCCUCUUAAAUAUAAAAAAAUUAAUUUUUAGGUGAAGAAGCCUAAAUUCAAUUGAGGGACAAGAAGACCCCUUUGAGCUUUAGUGAUCUAACAAAUUUUUAUAGCUGUCGAAAAGACAGCAGCGAAACAU
rnacentral:rRNA from 1 species